UUUGCGCCUGCCCGUCCCGCCAGUGCUAAUGUGUAAAAAUAAUUAAAAUACAAUUAAUUUAACCCCAUUAUUUUUCUCUCCAUCUCCGUUGCAUCUCCUUCUCCUUUCUCCUUUUAUUUUUAUUUUUAUUUUUUAUUUUUAUUAUUAUUUUUUUCCUUCUGUCAAAAUCAUUUUCCAAAGGUUGCAUCUCCGUUGCAAACCCACUUUCUUCCCUCAAAACCAGCUGCUCUCUGCAUCUCCAAAGGUGGUGGUCGCCGAUUGAUUUGCUGGUUGCCGUCUAAAGCUGUUCUGGUUGUUGCCGUUUUGCAGGUCACAAGUCAACAAAAAAAAUCGUGAAAAUGUACCUUAUAGUCAUUAUGGAGAAUCAAAACCCUUUGUAUAUCAUCUUCAGAAAAAAUCAAAGGACCUUCCUUACGGACAAACACAAAGACGGAUAGAUUUUUUUCUUGAUAUGCAUUAUCAUGAUAAAAAAGGAUGGAUCAAUGAGACAGUUCAACAAAGAUACGAGGACAUGCAUCAAAGACGUUCACAACUACUUGAGGAAGGGUUGGAGACAGUGAAUGAGGAUGCGAUUGCUGAUGAAGUUUUCGGAACUAGAUCAGGAUAUAUAUAUCUGGCAUGGAAUAUGGUCCAAAACUAGCUUUAUAUUCUCAUAAAAGACAACCAUCACUAGAUACAAUUGCUUUGUGUGAGCAAAUAUCAAGUUCGGAAGAAGAAUUGCCUCAUACAGGCGACAAACUGAAGAAUGGAUGGCAAAGUAUGAAGAAGAUAUGAGCCAAAUGAGAGAGUUUAUAUGACAAUUUAUGGCACAGAACUCUUGUUCUGGUGAUGGUACAUUAUUUAGUAGGUUUUGUUUUCCUCCACCUCCACGUCCUCCAUCGGCUGCUUCUUGACAUUUUUUUUUUUUAUUGUAGUUGUAAAAUUUACUAACAUAUAUGUUCAUAUGUACUAUUAAUGACAAGAAUUAUUACUUUUGU